AAGCGGCGCUCAUCACAUUUAUGUCUCCUUCAUUUCAAGCCAAGAUCAGAUGGUAGCUGAGGCAAAUAAAUUAUUCACCUCAAGAAUGUUUAACUGUGGCAAUCACAAAUAUAAACCACACCACAAGUAAUGUGGAAAGGGCUGAGGGCCUUCCACUGGGGUGGGAGCAAUUGCACUCAUGCAACACUGCCUUCAGAAAUUAAUAGGUGCAACAUUCAUGUAUGUAUUCCCAGGCCCUAUUCACUCAUCUGAAGAAAAAGAAAGCGGAAGAGAUGAUGGAGAAUAAGAAGAGAAAUAAAAUUUAAGCGGAACGAUUCUUGGUACUGCAGAUCAGAGUAGUCCAUCACAGAUGGCAACAUUUGCUAUGGCAAACUAGCACAUUAAACUGUGUAUUACAAUGCAAAAAAGUCUUAAGGUAUGGGUGAUGUUACAGCUUCCGCACA